rnacentral:lncRNA from 1 species
UCAUAAUCGUCUGUCUCCCUCACUGGAUUGUAAAUGCCUCAGGAGCAGGGAUAGCCUCUGACUUACCUUUGCAUUCCUACCCCAAGGAUAUGGCACACAGUAGCUGUCAAAUGUCUCCUGGAUGGCUCAUGGGUGAAGAACUUCGAACAGAACAGAACAGAACAGAACAGAACGAGGGCAGGGAUUUUUCACUCCCUCCCUCUGCCCCGCCCGCAACUGCCUGCGUUUUCGUAGCCCUAGAACUUCGAAAGUACAGUGCGGAAAAGCAAAGAAACACAUAGAGACCCAUGCACAGAAGGAUGAUACACUGCGGUUCCCCAACGUGGGCCUGCAGCAAGAGACAGGUGCUAACAGCAUCCGAGCCAAUCUGUAAGCAUCAGGGGGAUGAAGGAAUCAUGAACAAGAGGCAGAACCGCAACUGCUCCAAUGCAGAAAGAAUGAGUCAUCCAGGAAGGCAAGGUGCGGGCCUCCCUGCUUUGUCAUCACACCUUGGAUCACUCCGGGCAAUCUCACCCGUGUGGCUUCGCCUGGGUCCAGCCAGACCUCUGCUCAGCUCUGCACAUACACGCUCCCUGGAUGUCACCUCCUGACUUGGUGCUUAUCACACAUGCAGUCAAUGAACGCCUCACGAAUGCAUGGUUUACAUAGUCUUUGAUAAAGGCAUCUAUUGCUGGAUGUUUCACAUACAGUCUUUGAUGAACACAUCUAUCGCAUCCAGCAAUAUAUCUGUAUUGAAAAAGUCCUUCCAUAGCAUCCAGUAAUGAAAAGGAAGGUGGCAGGGAGCAGUAAUGGACAGUAAAACUAAAAACACCAUGAAGAUCCACAGUGAGAUCAGCAGAACCCUAGGAUGGCAAAUCC